rnacentral:RNase_P_RNA from 1 species
GGGAGGAAGCUCUCCAUAGAGGCCACAUGCUGGGUGUCCAUCACCCUUUGUCCUGCCUCUGGGAAGGUCGGAGAGACGGGCCAAGUUUGCCACCCUAGCAGGGUGCCACCUCCCAGAAGGUAGGAGAGACCCCAGCAAUUCUCCCCUGGACAGCCUGGCCUUGAGGGGGCUUUGCUCCAGAGGUGAUAUUCGGACCAGUUCCGGAGAAUCCGUAGCGUAAAUUUUGAGUAGUUUGGAGAACCGGCAAAUCCCACCCCUGACUGGCCCCACCCCAUCUAUGCUCCGCCUCCC